UACGUAGGGGGCGAGCGUUGUCCGGAUUCAUUGGGCGUAAAGAGCUCGUAGGCGGCUUGGCAAGUCGGAUGUGAAAACUCCAGGCUCAACCUGGAGCCGCCAUUCGAUACUGCUAUGGCUAGAGUCCGGUAGGGGAGUGUGGAAUUCCCGGUGUAGCGGUGAAAUGCGCAGAUAUCGGGAGGAACACCGGUGGUGUAGACGGCUUUCUGGACCGUAACUGACGCUGAGACACGAAAGCGUGGGUAGCAAACAGG
rnacentral:rRNA from 1 species